rnacentral:lncRNA from 1 species
AGUCGGGCCCGGAGCCCGGAAGGAGUGCCCCGCGGAGAGUCGAGCUUCCUUCCCCGGGGCUGGGGGUUCCGCGGAGCUCGCUCUGGGCUGUGGCGUUGCUCGCCCGCGAGCUCCUGGGGAGUUCGGGGGAGCUGCUGGGCUGGUGCCUGGAGCGGGGGCCGCCUCCAAGUAUUGUCUUUCGAAUUAAGUUACUGUCGUCUGUGUUGUCAGGCAACAACUGACCUUAAAUAAAAAUGAAAACCAGAAGUAGGCUACACAUGCAAUAGGCUACACAUGCAAUAAUGGAUACUUAAGGAAUGGGAGUGGCUGCUGGUGACUGGAGCAGAGAGGGUGUGGUUUCCCCAUGUUUCGGGGCCGGGGGGAAGGAGUAAAGUCUGUGUUCAGAGCCCAGACGCCAUGUCGGUCAUCACAUCACCGGGAGAACUCGUGGAGCCUGAGGAAAGGCUACGGGGUGCCAGAGUCUGAAGGGGCGGAAGAUUGCAUUCCUAUCACGUUCGCCGUGGCGCACAGGGGCUCCGCUGGGGCCGCCGCUCCCGCAGGAGAAGUGGGCCUGAGACGGUGCGGCGUCGACCAUAGCCGGCCCAGCAGAAGCCGGGGAAGGCCACAAGUGUAACUGGGUCCGAGUACUGUGAAGAAGGCGCCUCCCAUGGAGAAAGCUACCGGGUAGUUUAACAAGGUGGAAAAGCGUUGGCCUGGGGAGGAGGAAAGGAUGCUCAGAAAGUUGCCUCAAAAGGACGCAGAAGUGGAGGUGAAUCUUCUGUUUCAGAGGCAUUUUUUUGUGCCUCUGUGAGAAUGCAUUGCUUCCUGGUUGAUCCAUCUUCAGGUUUUCUCUCCGUCCUAGUCCCUGUUCUGCCACCAUUCUGUGUUUGAAUCUGGUACCUAAAGCCGCAGAUACUUGGUUCAUAGUAGAUGUCCACUCUGCAGUGGCUGAAAACACGGAAGAAAAACCAUCUUUGCCUGGGAAGGACAUUAUUGCUAGUGCCAUUACUGUCAACAGUUGGAACAAGAUAAACGGCAUGCCCAAUCUAGUUGAGGAUUUUGGACACCGGGCCUCCCACUGGGACUCCGCCGAGAAACCAGGUCUGCCAUUGCCACCUCCGCCGGGCCUUGCUGUCUUAGCACAGUAAGUGCACCCGACCGCGCCCGGAGUCCCCCUUUCACUCCCACAACCAGGCCUGUGGUGAGGCUCCCGCUUGUCAUCUCCACCAGGAGGUGCUGUCCUGCCGAAAUGUUGGGGUUUUUCUCCAAACUUCCUCCUGUUCAGAAUUCGCCAUCUCAGUAGUGGCAUGGACAUCCACCUGGCCACAGCUCACGCAGAAACCUAGGAAUUUUUGUGAACACGUUUGUGUGUCUUACUAAUGUGUCCACUCUCCACUACCACUGUUUCCCAGGCCACUAGUAUCUUUUGCCCAGACUGCUAGUAGCUCUUAACCCAUGUCCCCUAAUCCACUCUUGCCCCUCACACAGCACACACAUACAAUCCAUUCUCAACACAGACACCACAGUGAGGUUUAUGCUGUCUAUACUGGCCUUCCCUUUCGGUGGUCAAACGUGCCUAGCUCCUGCAGCCUUGGGGUCUAAUAAGCAUUUGCUCUUCCUUUUGCCUAAAAGGCUCUGGCCUCCCUCUGCCAUGCCAUUUCCUAUGCGCCUGUCAAACCUGAACCUGGUGGCCAGCUUCCCUAAACUAGCAAGCCUGAACCUCCCUGCUCUUCCAUGUCCGCAGGACCUCAUGCUCUGUUGAAGAUGUUAUAACAAUUAGAAUCUAAAUAAUUACGAAAGUUAUUUGUUUACCAUGUGGUUCCACCUCCAUGCUGUAAGGUAAUACCAUUUCUAUCUUCUCCGUUUUUGUAUCUCUAUCAGUUAGCACAGCGUCUUCCAUAUACAAAGUACUCAGUUAUUUACUAUGGAUGAACUGCUAAUUGUGAAACAGAAAUGACUUGCCAGAGGCUGCACAGCUAGUAACUGUUCAGGAUUAGAACUCAUAUGUGAUACCAAGGUCGAUGCAUUCUCCACUACACCAAUCAGAUCAUAGUAGAAUCAUGAGGAAUUUUUCACUUGAACAUAUGAACUCAGCAAAAGGGAACUGUUGAUAAUAAAGAUGAGCCCCUGCAGAAAGGGUCUCUUAAGUCCUCUCCAGUCUUGCCUCAUUUCCUCCUCAGCAAACACUCAAUGGCAAACAUCAAGACAAACCAGAAAGUCCUUCUUUUAACUUUUUUCUCAUCAAACUUUUUGGCCUAGUUGCUGUUCUGCAGAUAUCUGUGGUCUUCACUCUGCUUACAGCCAUCCUAAGGAUUCCAUGGAGAUCCAUGGAGUCUGGGGAGGGUGUGACUCACAGGAGGGUCUCUGCUGCACCUUCAGGGCAGCUCUCUUCCAUCUGUCUUAUAUAUGGGGCAAGAUUGUAUUUAAAGAAAGAUCUAAUAUGGGGAGAAAUGUUUAGAAUCUACUCAUCCAUAUUCUUUUUUAGUCUGGUAGAUGACAGUGCUCUAGGCUAUAAAUGAAUCCAAGAUUUAAACGUGAAAAAAUGUCAAGGUAUUAGAAUAAAACAUGACCAGAUUCCUUUAUAAUCUUAGAGUGGGGGAAAGGGGAGAAAGUCUUUCCAACUAUGACUCAAAAUGUCCUAGUCGUAAUAGGAAAGAUUGAUCGAUUCAACUACAUAAAAACCCUAAUUUAUGCAUGGCAAAAAAAACACAGUAGGCAAAGACAAAUGGCAAAAUUAAAGAAUAGUUCAUAUUGAUGUUAUAUAGAAACAGCCCCCUAAAGUAUAAAUUACUCUUGGAGGAGUAAGCAAGAGUAUUCCUUGGGGGAAACCCAGUAGAAAAUGGGCAAAGGACAAGGGCAGUUCACAGAGAAAGGAACACAAAUGGCUUUUAUACAUAUGAAAAAUGUACUGUCUCACUCAUGACAAGAGAAAUGCAAAUUUAAACUGCACACCUACCAUAUUGGCUAAAAUCUAAGUCCUGGACAACACAUAUUGGGGUAAGGGCCCUCUAAUGUAUUGCUAACAAAAGUACAAAAUUAUGCAACUCCUAUCAAAUAUGCUUCAAAAUUAUAAGUGUAUUUACUCUUUAAGCUAGCAGUCCUACUUCUGGAAACUAAUCCUACACAUACACCUGCACACAUAUUGUCUUAGUCUGUUUUGUGCUGCUAUAACAGAAUAUCUGAGACUGGGUAGUUUACAAAGAACAGAUACUUACUUUCUCACUCUGAGAAAUCUGAGAUCAAGGAGCUGGCAUUUGGUGUCUGGUGUGGGCCUUCCUGCUGCAUCUUCACAUGGCAGAAGGCAGAAGGGCAAGAAAGCAAGCUAGCUGAAUGCUGCGUGAAGCCUCUUAUAAGGGCCUUAAUCCUAUUAGUGAUGGAGGAGCCUUCAUGGCCUAUUUGGCAACACCUGAAUUUUAGAGGAUACACAUAUGAAAUGAUAACACAUGUGAAAUGAUAUGUAUGUAAGGGUAUUUUUUGCAGCAUAGUUUGCAAUAGCAAAAGACUAGAAAAAAUUGAUAUAUUUGUUUACUUGGAGAGUAAGGAGACUGUUAAAUGUGCCAUGGUAAUACCUUCAUAAUGAUCUCCAGCUUUACUAAAUGAAAAAAACAAUUGACAGAAUAUGAUUCAUAGUGUGCUGCCUCUCUAGUGCAAGAAAACAGGAAAAGACCAUAUAUUGCUUAUAUCUGCUUGAAGAAAUGCUACAUCGAAAUAGAUGUAUAGGAAAUAAAAGGGGUUACCUGGUGGAGGGGAGGAACCAAGUGAUUGGGAUGAGGGGAGGAGGACUUCUCCAUCUCUACUUUUUUAUGUUGUUUUGUAUACCUAUUUUUAAAACAGAUUGAAAAAUUAAGAAAAAUGUGUACUUUGUUCUAGAGUGAUGAUGGUUGUACAACUGUGAAUAUUGUAACAAAUCACUGAAUGGUACACUUUAAAGGGUGAUUUUAUGGUAUUUGAAUUAUAUUUCAAUAAAAUAAUUAUUUUA